rnacentral:rRNA from 1 species
GAUGAACGCUAGCUACAGGCUUAACACAUGCAAGUCGAGGGGCAGCAUGGUCUUAGCUUGCUAAGGCCGAUGGCGACCGGCGCACGGGUGAGUAACACGUAUCCAACCUGCCGUCUACUCUUGGACAGCCUUCUGAAAGGAAGAUUAAUACAAGAUGGCAUCAUGAGUCCGCAUGUUCACAUGAUUAAAGGUAUUCCGGUAGACGAUGGGGAUGCGUUCCAUUAGAUAGUAGGCGGGGUAACGGCCCACCUAGUCUUCGAUGGAUAGGGGUUCUGAGAGGAAGGUCCCCCACAUUGGAACUGAGACACGGUCCAAACUCCUACGGGAGGCAGCAGUGAGGAAUAUUGGUCAAUGGGCGAGAGCCUGAACCAGCCAAGUAGCGUGAAGGAUGACUGCCCUAUGGGUUGUAAACUUCUUUUAUAAAGGAAUAAAGUCGGGUAUGGAUACCCGUUUGCAUGUACUUUAUGAAUAAGGAUCGGCUAACUCCGUGCCAGCAGCCGCGGUAAUACGGAGGAUCCGAGCGUUAUCCGGAUUUAUUGGGUUUAAAGGGAGCGUAGAUGGAUGUUUAAGUCAGUUGUGAAAGUUUGCGGCUCAACCGUAAAAUUGCAGUUGAUACUGGAUAUCUUGAGUGCAGUUGAGGCAGGCGGAAUUCGUGGUGUAGCGGUGAAAUGCUUAGAUAUCACGAAGAACUCCGAUUGCGAAGGCAGCCUGCUAAGCUGCAACUGACAUUGAGGCUCGAAAGUGUGGGUAUCAAACAGGAUUAGAUACCCUGGUAGUCCACACGGUAAACGAUGAAUACUCGCUGUUUGCGAUAUACAGCAAGCGGCCAAGCGAAAGCGUUAAGUAUUCCACCUGGGGAGUACGCCGGCAACGGUGAAACUCAAAGGAAUUGACGGGGGCCCGCACAAGCGGAGGAACAUGUGGUUUAAUUCGAUGAUACGCGAGGAACCUUACCCGGGCUUAAAUUGCAGAUGAAUUACGGUGAAAGCCGUAAGCCGCAAGGCAUCUGUGAAGGUGCUGCAUGGUUGUCGUCAGCUCGUGCCGUGAGGUGUCGGCUUAAGUGCCAUAACGAGCGCAACCCUUGUUGUCAGUUACUAACAGGUUCCGCUGAGGACUCUGACAAGACUGCCAUCGUAAGAUGUGAGGAAGGUGGGGAUGACGUCAAAUCAGCACGGCCCUUACGUCCGGGGCUACACACGUGUUACAAUGGGGGGUACAGAGGGCCGCUACCACGCGAGUGGAUGCCAAUCCCCAAAACCUCUCUCAGUUCGGACUGGAGUCUGCAACCCGACUCCACGAAGCUGGAUUCGCUAGUAAUCGCGCAUCAGCCACGGCGCGGUGAAUACGUUCCCGGGCCUUGUACACACCGCCCGUCAAGCCAUGGGAGCCGGGGGUACCUGAAGUGCGUAACCGCGAGGAGCGCCCUAGGGUAAAACUGGUGACUGGGGCU